AAAGCGUACGCAGGUGGCACAUCAAGUCUGUUGUUAAAGCGCGGAGCUCAACUCCGUAAAGGCGAUAGAAACUGGUGAGCUAGAGUAUGGUAGGGGCAGGAGGAAUUCCCAGUGUAGCGGUGAAAUGCGUAGAUAUUGGGAAGAACACCAGCGGCGAAAGCGUCCUGCCAAGCCAAAACUGACACUCAUGUACGAAAGCUAGGGGAGCGAAUGGGAUUAGAUACCCCUGU
rnacentral:rRNA from 1 species